UCGCCUGUUUAUCAAAAACAUAGUUUGGUGAAAAAUUAUACUAAAUGAAUUCUGCCCAGUGUUUUAAUAAAUGGCCGCAGUACCCUGACUGUGCUAAGGUAGCAUAAUCAAUUGGCUUUUAAUUGAAGUCUGGAAUGAAUGAAAUAAUGGAGGAAUGCUGUCUUAAAAGUAUUAAUUUAAAUUUAUUUAAAAGGUGAAAAUACCUUUUUUUAAAAAAAAGACGAGAAGACCCUAAGAAUUUUUAGAUUAAAAUUUUGAAUUUAAUCUUUUUGUUGGGGCGACAGAUUAGAAAAACUAAACCUAAUUUUUUAAAUUGGCGAAUUUUUUAAGUAAUAAAAAAUUACCUUAGGGAUAACAGCAUAAUAUAAAAUUUUUAUGUUUGUGACCUCGAUGUUGGACUAGGAACUUUAUGGCUAGCAGUCAGAAAAGAUUUAUUCUGUUCGAAUAAUUUAAUCCU
rnacentral:rRNA from 1 species